GUCCUUGUCGAUUAGUGGUUAAAUCAUCUCGUUGUGGUGCGUGACCUACUCCGAGAAGCCGGAAGUUCGAAUCCUCCCUGGGACA